rnacentral:tRNA from 1 species
GACUGGAUAGCCUAUCCGUAAAGGCAUCACAUUGACAAUGCUGAGGUCCCAGGUUCAAAUCCUGGUCUAGUCA